rfam:Felis catus isolate Cinnamon breed Abyssinian chromosome B2, whole genome shotgun sequence.
ACCUGGCUGGCUCAGUUGGAAGAGCAUGCGACUCUUGAUUUCCAGGUUGUGAGUUUGAGCCCCACGUUGGGUG